GGACCAGUAGCUUAGUUGGAAGAGCUAUUAAAAUUCUGAGGAAAUCCAGAGGGGAGAACAAUGAGGAUGAGAGCAAAAAAAAUUGGGAUUGAAGUGCUACUGACACAUGUACUAUGUUCAGUACGAUUAGGUAAGCUACAUAGGUACUAUGACAAACAAGAUUUCCAACAAGAGCACCACUGUACUAUCCUAGAGGCCACAGGUUCAAUCCCUGUCUAGUCCA